GAGAGAGACAUGCGCGCAUAUCAAUAAGCGGAGGAAAAGAAACCUAACUAGGAUUCCCUUAGUAACGGCGAGUGAAGCGGGAAGAGCUCAAAUUUGAAAUCUUCAAGGUUUUACCUUGACGAAUUGUAGUUUAAAGAAGUGUUUUCUGUUGAAGUUUUGGUAAAAGUUCUUUAGAAUAGGACAUCAUAGAGGGUGAGAAUCCCGUAUUUGACCAUUAUUUUCAGCUGUGUGAUACACUUUCAAAGAGUCGGAUUGUUUGGGAAUGCAGUCCAAAAUGGGUGGUAAAUUUCAUCUAAAGCUAAAUAUUGGCGAGAGACCGAUAGCGAACAAGUACCGUGAGGGAAAGAUGAAAAGAACUUUGAAAAGAGAGUUAAACAGUACGUGAAAUUGUCAAAAGGGAAGCGUUUGACACCAAUGUUGUUUUCUCGAAAAUCAAUUAAAAAGAGCCUAGAUUUCGUGUUGUAUUGACUUUAAUCAGCUUCUGCACUUCAAUUUUCUUGUCUUUUUUAGUGCACUUUUCGUUUAACAAGUCAACAUCAGUUUCUUUUGUUGUAAAAGGGUCAUUGGAAGGUGGCUUUCUUUUCGGAGAAAGUGUUUAUAGCCUUUGACUCCUGCAAUCGGAGAGAUUGAGGUCUGCAGCGUAGAUCCUUCGGGGCUAGAUACAUUUGUGCUAAGUUAUAGCAUUUUAUAGACAACUUGUUGACUAUGAUUUGUCUUGUAGCUUACUCGCUUAUGUUAUUUUACCUACGCUUAGGAUGUUGAUGUGAUACUGCGAGCA
rnacentral:rRNA from 1 species